AACGGCCUGCUCCGUGCGUGAAGAUAAAAAUACCCUUGAGCCAACACUAUAAGCAAGGGAGCCAAGUCCUGAUGGGGCCGACAGGUUCGCCUUGAGCGAAAAGCCGAAGCCAUCAGGGGCGGUGCCCAAAUUACCUUGAGGGUCUCAAAGGGUACAAUCCUUGCGGCGGGGCGGGCUCUUA
rnacentral:other from 1 species